rnacentral:rRNA from 1 species
UACGGAGGGUGCAAGCGUUGUCCGGAAUCACUGGGCGUAAGGGGCGCGUAGGCGGCUCAUAAAGGCUGUGGUGAAAGUUCGGGGCUCAACCUCGAAUCGGCCGUGGCGACUUGUGGGCUGGAGCACUGUAGAGGCAGGUGGAAUUCCGGGUGUAGCGGUGGAAUGCGUAGAGAUCCGGAAGAACACCAGUGGCGAAGGCGGCCUGCUGGGCAGUGGCUGACGCUGAGGCGCGACAGCGUGGGGAG